CAACAGCAUGGCGGUUGCAUCCCCAGGAAGCAGGCCCGCAGCGCCAGGAGGGGGUUUCCUGAGGACAGAGGCCCUUGUCCUGAUUGUCGCAGCAGGCCCUGUCGAUGGACUUAACUGUGAAAAUCACCCUUUCAGGGGUGGAUGCAAGGACUUCUGAGGGCGGAGAAGUAGAUACCUUCCUGGAUAGCUGUGGAGCCGGGGUCCUGCAUUUCCCUCUGGCGUCUCUGCUGACUGAGAUGUGAAGCAGUCGGCCCAUGUCCCGAGAAGAACAAGAAAUUUGUGAUAAUUGCAUUUAAGACAGGAACCCAUUCGUCAGGUUGGCCACAACUCUGUGCCACAUCCUCUUCAUUUUAGAAUCCAGGAUGAAGGAUAUGCCCUUAUCUGGCUGGACAUAUUUGAAGAGAGAAUUUGUAAAUUGGAAGAUGGAACUGAAGACAACUCUUAGAGUAUGGAACAAAAAGGUAAUCAGUUGAUGUCAUGGAGGAUAGACUGAGAUAUUUUAGCCUACACAAAUGAGGGUUUGGGCACUUCUCCUUGCUGCUGCCAUGUGAAGAAGGACAUGUUUGCUUCCCCUUCUGCAUAAUGGACUGGUGGCCUCACAAGAAGAGACAAGAAGAAAGCUGUCUCUGUGCACACACACCGAGGAAAAGCCAUGUGAGCACACAGCGAAAAGGCAGCCGAGCCCACAAGCCAGGAAGAGAGCCCUGCACCCCAGAACUCAACUGUGAGAACAUACAUUCCUGUUGUUUAAGCCACCAGUCUGUGGUAUUUUAUGGCAGCCCAAGCUAAGACGCGCUAGGAAGAAGAACCACUAUAGUGUUAACUGUAAUGGGCAGAAUGGCCCUUUAGUCACCCUUCCUGUGGCCUAACACUUGGACACUGUCACUUAAGAGGCCCCUCACAUCUACGCAGGAGGUGAUUAAAGAACAUUCUAAAUUACCUGGUAAUUUGGGGGUGUAAGUACAUGAAAGCAUUUUUAAAAUUCUAAUUUGUAUGU
rnacentral:lncRNA from 10 species